AGUAACACGUAGACAACCUGCCCCCUGGCCCGGGACAACCUCUGGAAACGGAGGCUGAUACCGGACGGGCAGGAGAGGGGCAUCCCUCUCCUGUGAAAGGCCCUGCAAGGGGCCGCGAGGGGAUGGGUCUGCGGUGCAUUAGCUAGUUGGCGGGGCAGCGGCCCACCAAGGCGACGAUGCAUAGCCGGCCUGAGAGGGCGGACGGCCACAUUGGGACUGAGACACGGCCCAGACUCCUACGGGAGGCAGCAUG
rnacentral:rRNA from 1 species